CGCCUGUUUAACAAAAACAUGUCUUUUUGAUUAUAAUUUAAAGUCUAACCUGCCCAAUGAGGAGUUAAAUGGCCGCGGUAACCUGACCGUGCAAAGGUAGCAUAAUCAUUAGUUUUUUAAUUGAAAGCUGGUAUGAAUGGUUGGACGAGAGAGUGACUGUCUCAAUUUAAUUUUAUUAGAAUUUUAUUUUUAAGUAAAAAAGCUUAAAUGAGUUUAAAAGACGAGAAGACCCUAUAGAGUUUUAUAUUUAAUAUAAUAAGUGUACUUUAGGAUUAUUUAUAUAUUUAUUAUAUUAAGUAUUUUGUUGGGGCGACAGAAAAAUUGAAAGAACUUUUUUUAUUGUAAAACAUUAAUUUAUGGUUGAUUGAUCCGUUAAUUAGAACGAUUACAAGAUUAAAUUACCUUAGGGAUAACAGCGUAAUUUUUUUUGAGAGUUCAAAUCGAAAAAAGAGUUUGCGACCUCGAUGUUGG
rnacentral:rRNA from 1 species